rnacentral:rRNA from 1 species
ACACAUGCAAGUCGAGCGGUAACAGGGGGAGCUUGCUCCCCGCUGACGAGCGGCGGACGGGUGAGUAAUGCUUAGGAAUCUGCCCAGUAGCGGGGGAUAGCCCGGGGAAACCCGGAUUAAUACCGCAUACGCCCUUCGGGGGAAAGCAGGGGAUCUUCGGACCUUGCGCUAUUGGAUGAGCCUAAGUCGGAUUAGCUAGUUGGUGGGGUAAAGGCCUACCAAGGCGACGAUCCGUAGCUGGUCUGAGAGGAUGAUCAGCCACAUCGGGACUGAGACACGGCCCGAACUCCUACGGGAGGCAGCAGUGGGGAAUAUUGGACAAUGGGGGCAACCCUGAUCCAGCCAUGCCGCGUGUGUGAAGAAGGCUUUCGGGUUGUAAAGCACUUUCAGUGAGGAGGAAGGCCUAAAGGUUAAUACCCUUUAGGAUUGACGUUACUCACAGAAGAAGCACCGGCUAACUCCGUGCCAGCAGCCGCGGUAAUACGGAGGGUGCAAGCGUUAAUCGGAAUUACUGGGCGUAAAGCGCGCGUAGGUGGUUUGAUAAGCGAGAUGUGAAAGCCCCGGGCUUAACCUGGGAACGGCAUUUCGAACUGUCAGGCUAGAGUGUGGUAGAGG